GGGGAUAUAGCUCAGUUGGUAGAGUGCUUGCCUCACAUCCACAAGGCUCUGGGUUCAAUUCCAAGCACCACCA
rfam:Ictidomys tridecemlineatus contig012144, whole genome shotgun sequence.